UUCCGUGGCAAUAGCGGAGGGGCUACACCUGUUCUCAUACCGAACACAGAAGUAAAGUCCUCCAGCGCCAAAGGUACUUGGGUGGUAACGCCCUGGGAGAAUAGGACGUCGCGGAUU
rnacentral:rRNA from 1 species